GCGGAUGUAGUUCAAUGGUAGAACCUCAGCCUUCCAAGCUGAUGGCGUGAGUUCGAUUCUCAUCAUCCGCUCCA
rnacentral:tRNA from 29 species